CAAUAGCGUAUAUUAAAGUUGUUGCGGUUAAAAAGCUCGUAGUUGGAUUUCUGCUGAGGAUGACCGGUCCGCCCUCUGGGCAGGUAUCUGGCUCAGCCUUGGCAUCUUCCUGAAGAACGCAGCUGCACUUGACUGUGUGGUGCGGUAUUUAGGACAUUUACUUUGAGGAAAUUAGAGUGUUUCAAGCAAGCGCACGCCUUGAAUACAUUAGCAUGGAAUAAUAAGAUAGGACCUCGGUUCUAUUUUGUUGGUUUCUAGAACUGAGGUAAUGAUUGAUAGGGAUAGUUGGGGGCAUUCGUAUUUAACUGUCAGAGGUGAAAUUCUUGGAUUUGUCAAAGACGGACUACUGCGAAAGCAUUUGCCAAGGAUGUUUUCAUUGA
rnacentral:rRNA from 1 species